rnacentral:rRNA from 1 species
GGGGUCAUUUUUUUGCCAUGGCAAAUAAAAAGGAAAUUUGCCAUGGUCCAUAAAGUAAAUUUGCCAUAGUCCAUAAACUAAAUUUGCCAUGGCAAAAAAAUUACAAUUUGCCAUGAGUGUUCAAAGUAAAAUUUGCGUUGUAUGUUGAAGUAAAUUUGCCAUGUAUUUAAAAGUAAAAUUGCCAUGGCAAUUAGUGGUCAUUUUUUGCCAUGGCAAAAAAAAAAAUAAAGGUAAAUUUGACAUGGAAAAGUUAAUGUAAAAAAUUGAAUGGCAAUGUAAGUAAAAUUGCCAUUGGCAAUAAAGUAAAAUUUGCCAAGCUACAGAGAAAAAACUUCCAUGAUAUUAAAAAGUAAACUUGUUAUUAAGAUCAAAUUUCCAUGGCAAGAAAGCUUAUUAAAUUUGCCGUGUUAUUUUUUAAAUGGCCGUGGAUUUUGUAAUAAAAAUUGCAAUGUAAGUAAGAAAACUAGCCAUGUUCCAUGUCAACAUAUUAAGAUUUAUGUAUCCAUGAGUGUAGACUUUGUUUCAUGUACAUUUGCGAAAAGUGUGAGAUUUUUUUUACAAAAUCAACUUUGAAGAAAGAUUGGCAACUACUCCAGAAAUAUGCCACAUCAACUUCUCCAACAUGUUGCCAUGACAACUUCUCAUAGCGAUUCUAUCAAUUGCAAUUACUUGUAACAGUUAUGUCAUGGCACCUAAAUACAGAAUUUUUCCAUGGCAACUACUCCAACAUUUUGCCAUGGAAACUACUCAUAUCGAUUCUACUCGGAUAUUACAUGGUAAUUUGAGAAAAAUGAACUAAUCAAAAAAUGCCAUGGAAAUUAUUUACGAAAACAAAAGAUGGUAGCUAUCCAAGAUAUGUAAAAUUGCCAUGUCAAAUUGAUGAUAAUUUGCCAUAGAAAAUGAUGUUGCCAUGGGUAGUUGGGAGAAAAAUCGGUUUGUUGCCAUGUAGCCCUCGGAAAAAGCAUGCUGCCAUCCUUAGAAAUCUACUACAAAAUUGCCAUGAAGGUAAGAAUCAGUAUAGGUUUGUUGCCAUGCGGGCAUGAAUAAAACCUGAAAAGGCAUGCUCCCAAGGUCAUGGGAGGUCGACAUCGGGUCGGGGGCGUGGCGUUGGCCCCGUGUUUGCUGCCCAGAUGAGAAGAUGGCGUCGGGAUCCACCGGAGGCCAUCGGACGUCGGAUCUGGCGCGCGUCCUCCCCUGCCGAGCAGCACCGCUCGCCCGCUCACGCCUCUGUCGGCCGCCGCCCUUCGCGGAGGCUGCACCCUGGUGCCCCCCAUGGCCGCAGCCAUCCCGCAAGGCCGCAACCUUCUUCAAAUCCGGCGACGCGCAGGGCCACAACCGCCGCUCCCACCGACGGAGUCCUUCGUCGAUGUCCCCGCCUGCCCAACGCCGGUCGUCCCCUCCUUCAAAUCCACGCGACGCGCAAGGCCGCCGCCUGGUGCCCAGCCAACGCCGCAUCCCUCCUGCAUCUCUCGCCACCAUCUGCGCACCCCUUAUGCGCCGCCUUCGCCAUCUCCGCCUCCGCCCAGACGUGGCCCCGCGUCCGACGGAAAGGAGCUGCCGCCGUUCCAGGGGAGAGCGCCACCAUCCCUCGCUCCGGCCGCCGGACGCCUUCGCCGCCGUCCCCGCCUGCCCAGCGCUGGCAUCCGGUGGUGUGUGGUGUGCUGUGUGGAUAAGAGAGUGGGGGGAACGGGGGGAGGAGAGCGAGGGAGUGGUUCGGUGACUAUUGGCUUCGCCCCGAACGCGCUCGCUGGUGAUGACGUGGCAAGUGUAGACCGUCAAGAUUCGUGCGACGAUAAGGAGGGGGUUCG